CGGUCUGAUGUGAUUAGAAUCUUUUUUGUGCGUUCAAGUUCAACUUGACGAGUUUCGCUACCUCGGGGUGUUCUAAUUUUGUUUGGAAAAGACGUCAAAUACGCUCGUCAGCGUAGCGGAGAAGAAGUAGGCUCGUAAUGGCGUCCAUACUGUCUUCGCGCAACGGUUGAGUGCGCCGGAAGUUCUCAGCAAGUUGCAAGGUUGGAAACAUGCAAGUGAGCUAGACGAGGAAAGGAAUACCGGAAGUGCAGGGUUACUCAAGAAUGCACGUCGAUUUGAAGGUGAAGCCAGGAGUUUUGAAUAUUGUCACUUUGCAGACGUAGCAAUUGAUGAUGAAAUAAAAUUAU